AGCCAAGCUACAGUGCAUAACAGUGAAGUGUCCAGUGAGGUAGAUUACCAUGGUUCUCGAUAAUUAUUAUGACGUCAUAGUAAUGAAAGAGAAGACCAGUGAGUAAGGAAGGUCCAAUGAUUUGCCUAAGGCUACAGGAGUUGCAAACUCAUGAAAUGCAGUCAGGAUUUGAAGCCAGGUUUCCCAUAUUCUGGAUGCUGUGUUCCUUCCAUUUUGCCUUUUCGCCUACCAUGUCCCCUGUCUCCAAAUCCAGAGCAUCUACUCUUCCUUUUCUCCCUGCAAGAGAUUUGACCUUAGGCGACAGUGGAUUGGGGUCUAUGCACACAGGAGUCGUCUAUGCAUGUCUGCUGUUCCAGUGCUUGGUGCUGUGUCAUCUGAAGUCAGCUGGGUCAGCACUUCAGCAGGGAAGUCCGAAAAUAUCAGUAUUUUCUGAUACUGACAAAUGGAGGAGAACACCAGCAAAUCAAACCCCUCAUAGGAUUCCUAAAUAUCUUAAAUAUUCACUGAACUGA
rnacentral:lncRNA from 1 species